UCCUUGUAACAAUGGUAUGGCAGUGUUGAACAGCAGUGACAGAGGGACCUCAUGAUACACAAAGUCCAUCAUGUCUACCAUCUGGCCCUUCCUGGGACAUGUGCUAAGCCCUGCUCUACAAGUACUUGUGCCUAGAAUUUAGAUUUAAAGCCAUAGCUCCCUCCAGUGCUUCCCACAGAAAUACGGACUUACUUUGUAUGCUCACGGCUCGGGAACACAACUUUCCCCACUUUGCUCAUUCUCGCCAUCGCUUCCUGGUAAAUGGAAACAGCAAAGAACGUUGAGACGCAAGUGGUCUGAUGAGGAAACAGGAAGAGGAGGUGCUUAUUGGGGGGGAAGGGAGGUAAACACAGGAGGAGGAGAGACAUGAGUCAAGUAACAAUAGAAGUGUCUGAAAAAGCCCUCAAGGAAUCAUACCAUUAAACA